UACAGAGGAGCCAAGCGUUGUCCGGAUUUACUGGGCGUAAAGCGCACGCAGGCGGCAUCGCGCGUGGGGUGUGAAAUCUGGCCGCUUAACGGCCAGGCGCCAUCCCAUACGGCGAGGCUGGAGCGAUGCAGAGGUCGGUGGAAUUGCCGGUGUAGUGGUGAAAUGCGCAGAUAUCAGGAGGAACACCAAUGGCGAAGGCAGCACUCUGGGACGUGACUGACGCUGAGACGCGAAAGCGUGGGGAGCAAACAGG
rnacentral:rRNA from 1 species